rnacentral:tRNA from 1 species
GUGGAAAUAGUUCAAUGGUAGAAUGACAUCUUGCCAAGAUGAAGGUUAAGGGUUCAAUUCCCUUUUUCCACA